AGCUUGGCAUAGCCUAGGGGUUAGAGCAUUCGACUCCCGUUUGAAGGGGAAGGGGUUCAAAUCCCAGUAGGUUU
rnacentral:tRNA from 1 species